rnacentral:rRNA from 1 species
AGUGAACGCUGGCGGUAGGCCUAACACAUGCAAGUCGAACGGCAGCACAGUAAGAGCUUGCUCUUACGGGUGGCGAGUGGCGGACGGGUGAGGAAUACAGCGGAAUCUACUUGUUCGUGGGGGAUAACGUAGGGAAACUUACGCUAAUACCGCAUACGACCUACGGGUGAAAGCAGGGGAUCUUCGGACCUUGCGCGAUUGAAUGAGCCGAUGUCGGAUUAGCUAGUUGGCGGGGUAAAGGCCCACCAAGGCGACGAUCCGUAGCUGGUGUGAGAGGAUGAUCAGCCACACUGGAACUGAGACACGGUCCAGACUCCUACGGGAGGCAGAAGUGGGGAAUAUUGGACAAUGGGCGCAAGACUGAUCCAGCCAUACCGCGUGGGUGAAGAAGGCCUUCGGGUUGUAAAGCCCUUUUGUUGGGAAAGAAAAGCAGCAGGUUAAUACCCCGCUGUUCUGACGGUACCCAAAGAAUAAGCACCGGCUAACUUCGUG